rnacentral:rRNA from 1 species
UACGUAGGGUGCGAGCGUUGUCCGGAAUUAUUGGGCGUAAAGAGCUCGUAGGCGGUUUGUUGCGUCUAUCGUGAAAACCUGCGGCUUAACUGUGGGCUUGCGGUAGAUACGGGCAGACUUGAGUUCGGUAGGGGAGACUGGAAUUCCUGGUGUAGCGGUGAAAUGCGCAGAUAUCAGGAGGAACACCGGUGGCGAAGGCGGGUCUCUGGGCCGAUACUGACGCUGAGGAGCGAAAGCGUGGGGAGCGAACAGG